rnacentral:rRNA from 1 species
UACGUAGGGUGCAAGCGUUAAUCGGAAUUACUGGGCGUAAAGCGUGCGCAGGCGGUUGUGCAAGACAGAUGUGAAAUCCCCGGCUUAACCUGGGAACUGCAUUUGUGACUGCACAGCUGGAGUGCGGCAGAGGGGGAUGGAAUUCCGCGUGUAGCAGUGAAAUGCGUAGAUAUGCGGAGGAACACCGAUGGCGAAGGCAAUCCCCUGGGCCUGCAUUGACGCUCAUGCACGAAGCGUGGGAGCAACAGG